CUUUCCUACGGGGCGCAGCAGUGGGGAAUGUUGGGCAAUGGGCGCAAGCCUGACCCAGCAACGCCGCGUGAAGGAAGAAGGCUUUCGGGUUGUAAACUUCUUUUCUCAGGGACGAAGCAAGUGACGGUACCUGAGGAAUAAGCCACGGCUAACUACGUGCCAGCAGCCGCGGCAAUACGUAGGUGGCAAGCGUUGUCCGGAUUUACUGGGUGUAAAGGGCGUGCCGCCGGGAAGACAAGUCAGAUGUGAAAUCCCGCGGCUCAACCGCGGGACUGCAUUUGAA
rnacentral:rRNA from 1 species